rnacentral:rRNA from 1 species
AUAAUGGGUCAGCGACUUAUAUUCUGUAGCAAGGUUAACCGAAUAGGGGAGCCGAAGGGAAACCGAGUCUUAACUGGGCGUUAAGUUGCAGGGUAUAGACCCGAAACCCGGUGAUCUAGCCAUGGGCAGGUUGAAGGUUGGGUAACACUAACUGGAGGACCGAACCGACUAAUGUUGAAAAAUUAGCGGAUGACUUGUGGCUGGGGGUGAAAGGCCAAUCAAACCGGGAGAUAGCUGGUUCUCCCCGAAAGCUAUUUAGGUAGCGCCUCGUGAAUUCAUCUCCGGGGGUAGAGCACUGUUUCGGCAAGGGGGUCAUCCCGACUUACCAACCCGAUGCAAACUGCGAAUACCGGAGAAUGUUAUCACGGGAGACACACGGCGGGUGCUAACGUCCGUCGUGAAGAGGGAAACAACCCAGACCGCCAGCUAAGGUCCCAAAGUCAUGGUUAAGUGGGAAACGAUGUGGGAAGGCCCAGACAGCCAGGAUGUUGGCUUAGAAGCAGCCAUCAUUUAAAGAAAGCGUAAUAGCUCACUGGUCGAGUC